AUGAGAUAACGCAAUGAAUAAAAUUGUUUUACCCCCAGAGAGAGCAUUAAAAAAUGUUCAACUGUCUACUGGAGGAAUAAUGGAGACUUUUUAAAUUAUAAGAAGGCAGCUUGAUCUUUUGACUCUCUGUCAUGAAAUAAAGUUUCAGAAAGGUGAUGAAAUUUAAGCUGGGCUUUAAAGGCUACAUCAAAUUUGACAAAUGGAAUUGUGAGGAAAGCACAUUAGAAGUAAAGAGUGAACCCACAAAAACAAGAGAACAUCAUGUUUCUAGAGGCUGCCUGCAUUCCUUGGCUAAUGACUUUGCAUCACUCUGACGUCUUGCUCCCAUGGUCGUAUCACCUACUACUGGCCCUGAUCUCACUACUUGUUAUAUGGAACAAAGGGAUAAGGAAGUGACUUGCCUAAGUCACUGAGGAACCUAAUAUUGAGAUUAGCACUCAAUGAUUCCUGGCUCUCAGAAUGUGUGCUGCUACCACCAGGCCACACUCUUCCCUCCAGAGAGAAGAUGUGUCAGCACGGAAUUGUGCUGAAGCAAAGAUGUGAAAUAGAAUGAUUACAUAUCUACCUAGUGGGAAGAUCUGGGGAAGAAUCUAUCAGUGCUGGCAGAGAAGCAAACCAUACGACAUCACUCAUCCCCAGAAAGUGAAGUUAAGGGAAAUAAAAAACAAUCUACACCAUUUAGAAAACACAGCCACCCCAUACCCUUGGAAAAAAUACACUAAAAUAUCUUCAUCUGAUUUGACCUCUAAUAACAUGAAUAAUUGUCUUAUAACUCACUUUCUUACCUCUUGAUUAUUCUACAGAUCCGGCACAUAUGAGCAAAAUCUGAUGAAAUUCACUCAUUUAAUUUGAAGAUUUUAAUUAUGUAGAAA
rnacentral:lncRNA from 1 species